GAUGAACGCUGGCGGCGUGCCUAAUACAUGCAAGUCGAGCGAACGGACGAGAAGCUUGCUUCUCUGAUGUUAGCGGCGGACGGGUGAGUAACACGUGGAUAACCUACCUAUAAGACUGGGAUAACUUCGGGAAACCGGAGCUAAUACCGGAUAAUAUUUUGAACCGCAUGGUUCAAAAGUAAAAGACGGUCUUGCUGUCACUUAUAGAUGGAUCCGCGCUGCAUUGGCUAGUUGGUAAGGUAACGGCUUACCAAGGCAACGAUGCAUAGCCGACCUGAGAGGGUGAUCGGCCACACUGGAACUGAGACACGGUCCAGACUCCUACGGGAGGCAGCAGUAGGGAAUCUUCCGCAAUGGGCGAAAGCCUGACGGAGCAACGCCGCGUGAGUGAUGAAGGUCUUCGGAUCGUAAAACUCUGUUAUUAGGGAAGAACAUAUGUGUAAGUAACUGUGCACAUCUUGACGGUACCUAAUCAGAAAGCCACGGCUAACUACGUG
rnacentral:rRNA from 1 species